rnacentral:rRNA from 1 species
AGUGAACGCUGGCGGUAGGCCUAACACAUGCAAGUCGAACGGCAGCACAGGAGAGCUUGCUCUCUGGGUGGCGAGUGGCGGACGGGUGAGGAAUACAUCGGAAUCUACUUUUUCGUGGGGGAUAACGUAGGGAAACUUACGCUAAUACCGCAUACGACCUACGGGUGAAAGCAGGGGACCUUCGGGCCUUGCGCGAUUGAAUGAGCCGAUGUCGGAUUAGCUAGUUGGCGGGGUAAAGGCCCACCAAGGCGACGAUCCGUAGCUGGUCUGGGAGGAGGAUCAGCCAACCUGGAACUGAGACACGGUCCAGACUCCUACGGGAGGCAGCAGUGGGGAAUAUUGGACAAUGGGCGCAAGCCUGAUCCAGCCAUACCGCGUGGGUGAAGAAGGCCUUCGGGUUGUAAAGCCCUUUCGUUGGGAAAGAAAUCCAGCUGGCUAAUACCCGGUUGGGAUGACGGUACCCAAAGAAUAAGCACCGGCUAACUUCGUGCCAGCCGCCGCCGUAA